rnacentral:lncRNA from 1 species
UUUUCUUAAGCUACAUAAAAAAUCUAUCAAUUUGUCUUAUAAAUAAUGACGAAGAAAAGUGUUUCAUCAAUUUUUCUAUUUUUUUUAAACACAAUUCCUUUUUUUUACCUCUCUAACUAGUGACCUUUACGGAACAUGAUAUUGUGACCCUUCAAAUUAUGAUAAUGAUGACAACUUAAGAAUGCCUUUUGUCUUCAAAAUAACCAUUAACAGUCUUAUUUUAGUGUUAAAGUACGCCUUCAAGUGUAUUUGUGAUCUUGUGGUAAACAUUUUGUAACCUUUUUAACUUUUUUUUUUUAAUUUUGUUAGUGAACUUCUGCUAUGCAUUUGGUGCUCGUAUCAUAUUUUGAUUUGUACUCAUCCAAUCAAUUUGAUUCUUGCACCUUUAAAGUCUAAUUAAAUUACCUAAACUCUUAUGUUCAGGUCAAAGUCUAAUUUAUUCACAUUCCAUGUCUAAAUUGAGUGAAACCAAAGCUUUUGAAUUCUUAAAAUCUAUACCUACAUUUCUUAUGAAGAUGCUUAAACCAAAUUUUGUAAUUUAAACCGUGAUUUUGGGCAAAUUUUGUUGCACAACGCAAUCAACUCGUUUGUGUGAACUAUUGCACAAUGAAAACACGUCAAGUAUGAUCAAUUUUGUCCAUCUAAGGCUUUUGCUCGUCUUGCGAGCCAACAUAAAACCUUGCUCACAUGUGCGGCAGGACUGCUCUCAUGUGCAACGAUGUGCAAAACUAGACAACAUUUAAGGGUUUUACAUGAGAUAUUACCUUUUUCAUUCAAAUUAUUGCAUGAAAGUUAUAGGCAAACCUGGCCUCACAUAACCAUUCUCUAUAACCUUCAAGAACCUUCGUUCCUUCAUUGAUUCUGGAUUAAUCUUAUCAUUCUCAUGCAUUAGAAAGCCAAAUCUCACCAUAGAAAUUCCUGAUAUUGUGAAUUUUAUUUUCAUAUGCAAAUGUUAAUCGUAAGUACACUGUCAGAGGGGAGGGGAAAUGUUGGCAGCAAAGAUCGAACCCUGAACCUCCAUCUUAAACUCUUUAAAUGGGUAAGUUUCAUUCAUCCCCAAAUUCAUGAUUGUGUCCUUUGAGUAUAGUUUCUUUUUAGUUCUUGAUUUUAUCCAUUGAAAAGAGGGAAAUUAAUGAUUUUAUCAAUCGUUAAAUGUUAACCAUUAUAGGUUAGAAAUGACUAAAGUUAAACAAUGCU